rnacentral:rRNA from 1 species
AUUGAACGCUGGCGGCACGCUUAACACAUGCAAGUCGAGCGGUAACAUGGGUAGUAGCAAUACUAUCUGAUGACGAGCGGCGGACGGGUGAGUAACACGUAGGAACUUGCCCAGUAGUGGGGGACAACCAAGGGAAACUUUGGCUAAUACCGCAUAUACUCGAGAGAGGAAAGCUGCCAGCAAUGGUGGCGCUAUUGGAGAGGCCUGCGUCCGAUUAGCUAGUUGGUGAGGUAAUAGCUUACCAAGGCGAGGAUCGGUAACUGGUCUGAGAGGACGACCAGUCACACUGGGACUGAGACACGGCCCAGACUCCUACGGGAGGCAGCAGUGGGGAAUCUUGGACAAUGGGGGCAACCCUGAUCCAGCGAUGCCGCGUGAGUGAAGAAGGCCUUCGGGUCGUAAAGCUCUUUAGGCUGGGAAGAAGGUUAGUAGUUUAAGAGAUAACUAGCUUGACUGUACCAGCAGAAUAAGCACCGGCAAACUCUGUGCCAGCCGCCGCAGUAA